rnacentral:lncRNA from 1 species
GGGAAAUGCAGCGGCUCCCUGCCUCCACCUCUUGACCCUUCCAGACAGUCUGAAACUGAAAGAUGUCUGCAAGGUAACUGAGGACUGAUAGAAAAAGAAGAAAAGGAACCUAGGGAUGGUUGUGGCAGGGAAAAGUCACAACCAAAGGAACAAGGUGUGCUGUGAAGGCAGCAGCAGGCUGUGCUGGGGAAGCACCUGUCAAAGAGAAGUAGGUAAAAGGCAAGAAAGCACCACGUGGGAGAAACAGGGGAGAGAAGGAAGAUGCCCGCACUCCUGGAGCACAAAAAAGUAGAUAAUCAAACUGGGUGAAAGGAAGAUGGCAAAUCUGGAGGCCGAAGGAGGUAGAUGAAAACGACAAAAUGGGAUAAGAAACAGUCACAUAAAACUGUAAAGGAUGUGGGGGCAGAGAAGGAGGUUUGGCAGCAUAAGAAGGAGCGACUCAUUAGCAAGCAGCCACAGAACAAUGGAGUGAGGAGGUCUGCAAGUUGGGGGACGUGAAGAGAAAAGGUGCAUUUGUUAUGAAAGGUGGAAAAAUAAAACGGAGUGAGACUUCUGUGGCCGUUGUCAAGGGAAAGGGAAGAACUGGAGAUCUAAGGGGGGUUAUGGGGAAGAAAACACCGCGUAACACAGAAAAUGCGAUGAGGUGCAGAGAAAACCUUGGUGGGGGGGAGGGGUGGGGGUGGGUCUUGGAUAGCCUUGGUAGUAAGUGCUAACUAAAUUCUAAUUGUUGUCCUGUUAUUAGCAUCAUCAUCCAAAGCUGGGAAGCAGUUGACCCAGAGAGUCGUGCUUGCUCGGUUUGCCUUGCUUUUCUCGCACUUGCAGGGAGGGGAAAUUUGCUCAGGCGCGGCGACUUUGCACAGACGGGUGGCCGGCGGCACAGGUCACCUGAGUUGCCCGGACGUGGGCAGCGGGGCCGGCUGCUACCUUCCCGGUAUGCAAAUUAGUAUGCAAAUUACCGCACACGUCAGCCACAGCUGGAACCAAACCGCCUCCAGCCGUGCGCGCCAAGUCAGAGGCGACCGACACCGGGUCCUCCCGGCUGCCUCGCGAAGAGACCCGGCGGGGACCCGCGGAGAAACUUGCUUUCAAAACUGAGUUCUCCGACCGCAAGCCCUGUAGGGCCGCAGCUGCGGCGGCACCGGGCGCGCCUCCCGGGGGAGCCGAGCCGGGACGGACGGGAACCGAGGCCGCCCCGGGCGCCCCGCGCGACCUCGAAGGCCAGGCCCGGCGGGGCGGGAGCGCGGGGACCAGCCAUCACUCACUGCCCUGCAAACAAAGCUGACAUCUGCAUUCCACCCUCCUCACAAAAGAGAACCUCCGGAGGUUUCUUUGAACUUUUUUUCCUCUCCAAGAUCUGCUGCUACCAGACUCUGACUAGCAGCUGAAAUUCUAACAGUAGCCAAUCCACAGCUUUCACCAACCAAAGAUUCAUCGUAACACAACCAGCGCUUUCUGCAGAAUGCUGUCCAGGGACAGAAACUAUCAUUUCUCACCAAGUGUGAGGUGCACAUUUUUUUCUUAUAAUUACGUCUCCAGGGGCAGCCUGGGGGGCUCAGCGGUUUAGCACCGCCUUCAGCCCAGGGCCUGAUCCUGGAGUCCCCAGUUCGAGUCCCACGUCAGGCUCCCUGCAUGGAGCCUGCUUCUCCCUCUGCCUCUCUCUCUCUCAAUGUGUCUCUCAUGAAUAAAUAAAUAAAAUCUUAAAAAAAAAAAUUAUGU